GACGAACGCUGGCGGCGUGCUUAACACAUGCAAGUCGUACGGUAAGGCCCUUUCGGGGGUACACGAGUGGCGAACGGGUGCGUAACACGUGAGUAACCUGCCCACAACUUUGGGAUAACGCUAGGAAACUGGUGCUAAUACUGGAUAUGUGCUCCUGCUGCAUGGUGGGGGAUGGAAAGCUCCUGGGGUUUUGGGUGGACUCGCGGGCUAUUAGCUUGUUGGGGGGGUAGUGGGCUACCAACGCGGCGACGGGUAGCUGGCCUGAGAGGGUGAGCGGCUGCACUGGGACUGAGGGGAGGCCCCGACGCCGACGGGAGGAAGAAGGGGGGAAGAUUGAACAAGGGGCGCAAGCCGGAUGCAGAAACGCCGCGGGCGGGAUGACGGCCUUGUGGUUGAAAAACGGUUUCAGCAGGGACGAAGCUUUUUGUGACGGUACCUGCAGAAGAAGCACCGGCUAACUACGUG
rnacentral:rRNA from 1 species